rnacentral:rRNA from 1 species
CCUACGGGGGACAGCAGUGAGGAAUAUUGGUCAAUGGACGCAAGUCUGAACCAGCCAUGCCGCGUGCAGGAAGACGGCUCUAUGAGUUGUAAACUGCUUUUGUACGAGGGUAAACGCAGAUACGCGUAUCUGUCUGAAAGUAUCGUACGAAUAAGGAUCGGCUAACUCCGUGCCAGCAGCCGCGGUAAUACGGAGGAUUCAAGCGUUAUCCGGAUUUAUUGGGUUUAAAGGGUGCGUAGGCGGUCGGAUAAGUUAGAGGUGAAAUCCCGAGGCUCAACUUCGGGAUUGCCUCUGAUACUGUUCGGCGAGAGAGUAGUUGCGGUAGGCGGAAUGUAUGGUGUAGCGGUGAAAUGCUUAGAGAUCAUACAGAACACCGAUUGCGAAGGCAGCUUACCAAGCUACUUCUGACGUUGAGGCACGAAAGCGUGGGGAGCAAACAGGAUUAGAUACCCCGGUAGUC